rnacentral:lncRNA from 1 species
AGAACAAAGGCCUGGAGACUGGAGCGAGCUGCGUUCUUGGGGGUGGGGGGUGGGGCGGCAGCUGGAGAGUGGGGGCUUCCCCAGCGGGAGAGGGAGGACGAUUCUGGAUGGCUUCCCUCCUUGUGGACAGAGUGAGUCUCUGCUAUGAGAAAGAGACGGGGUUUCACCGUCUUAGCCAGGAUGGUCUCGAUCUCCUGACCUCGUGAUCCGCCCGCCUCGGCCUCCCAAAGUGCUAGGACUAACAGGCGUGAGCCACCGCACCCGGCCAAGCUGGAUCUUAAGCUUGCUUACCGGUGACUUGUUGACCUCAUCUUGGCUCAAAGAAGACACGGCCCCAGACCCGUGUUGGAGCCACACUGCCCGGGACAGCCCUGAAGCAGCCACGUCCCCACCUUUCAGGAGUCGGCCAAGAGCACGGUGGCUGCAGAAGGCCCUGGCUGAUGGAGAUAACAUUUGACAAACAGGUGCUUUUCCAAUUAUGGAUAACAACAGAAAAGCAGUCAUUGGUUUCUAAAAGGUCAUCAAGAUAUAAAGCCCGUUUGGGAAGGGAAUGACUUACGCAGUGGGCUUGUAUAAAUCUGGAGAAGUUUUAUGCACAAGUCGGACAAGAAAUGUGUUCUACAUACGGCUCGGGAGCCAGCAAGUGCGUAUGAAGCCCCUUCACAUGGCUAGUGGCAUCCUAAGGACCCGGCGACAAUUAGUCAUGGCGUCAUCGAACACCAGGCUGGAGGAGGUCUUGGAUGCCACAGCUCCUUUUGAAUUUCAAAGACGUUCAAAUCCCCAUCUGGCUGUUACACUUUUAGGCUAUUGAGAGUGAAAACAAGCACUGACAUGAACACCCAACCAGCUGCCGGUGACAUCGUCCCCUUCUGAGAUCUGAGGACAUGGAUACCCAACCACCUGCCGGUGACAUCGUCUCCUUCUGAGAUCUGAGGACAUGAACACCCAACCACCUGCCGGUGAUAUCGUCCCCUUCUGAGAUCUGAGGACGUGGAUAUCCAACCACCUGCCGGUGACAUUGUCUCCUUCUGAGAUCUGAGGACAUGGACACCAAACCACCUGCCGGUGACAUUGUCUCCUUCUGAGAUCUGAGGACAUGAACACCAAACCACCUGCCAGUGACAUCGUCCCCUUCUGAGAUCUGAGGACAUGGAUACCCAACCACCUGCCGGUGACAUCGUCUCCUUCUGAGAUCUGAGGACAUGGACACCCAACCACCUGCCGGUGACAUCGUCUCCUUCUGAGAUCUGAGGACAUGAACACCCAACCACCUGC